UCUAAUGAUGCAUCUUGCCCAACAUUUGGAGGUGCAGACGGCUCGAGGAUCCUGUUUACAGGUGAACCUACCUGGAGUCCCUGUAUCCACAUGACAAUCACGGGCAAGUCUAUGG